AUUGAACGCUGGCGGCAUGCCUUACACAUGCAAGUCGAACGGUAACAGGUCUUCUGAUGUUGACGAGUGGCGAACGGGUGAGUAAUACAUCGGAACGUGCCCAGACGUGGGGGAUAACGAGGCGAAAGCUUUGCUAAUACCGCAUACGAUCUAAGGAUGAAAGCAGGGGACCGCAAGGCCUUGUGCGGUUGGAGCGGCCGGUGGCAGAUUAGGUAGUUGGUGGGAUAAAAGCUUACCAAGCCGACGAUCUGUAGCUGGUCUGAGAGGACGACCAGCCACACUGGAACUGAGACACGGCCCAGACUCCUACGGGAGGCAGCAGUGGGGAAUUUUGGACAAUGGGCGAAAGCCUGAUCCAGCAAUGCCGCGUGCAGGAUGACGGCCUUCGGGUUGUAAACUGCUUCUGUACGGAACGAAAAGGCUCUGGCUAAUACCUGGGGCACAUGACGGUACCGUAAGAAUAAGCACCGGCUAACUACGUG
rnacentral:rRNA from 1 species